AUGGAAAAGCUCGCCUUCAGCCACUUCGUGCAGCUGUUGGGAAGCACGGCCGAGAGGAAGCACACGGUUAACUUGGCGGAGUUGGAUCUAUCUCAUGAGGAGCUUGCGGAGCUUGACGAACCUGUCAUGGCGAAGGAGGUUUGGAAGGCCAUCAAAUCGUUGCCGGCCGACAAGGCCCCUGGGCCAGUUGGGUUUCCGACACAAUUUUACCAAGUAAUGUGUGAUAUCAUCAAGGCGGAGGUGCUGGCCGCAGUGCAACAGUUCUUUCAUGGGGAUAACCGCAACUUUGAAUUGCUUAACGAAGCCCUAAUCAUCCUGCUACCAAAGGAGGAUGCGGUGGACAUUGGCGAUUACUGCCCCAUAAGCCUUCUUCAUAGUUUUGCAAAGAUCAUCACAAAGAUUCUUGCGGGCCUUCUUGCAAAAAAGUUGGGCAGUCUAGUGGGGCGCAAUCAGAGUACAUUUUACUUCAGGAAGAAGUAUUCAGGACAACUUCGCCUUGGUCCACCAGACGGUUAA
rnacentral:rRNA from 1 species